CGUGAAGUUGGAAUCGCUAGUAAUCGCGGAUCAGCAUGCCGCGGUGAAUACGUUCCCGGGCCUUGUACACACCGCCCGUCACACCAUGAGAGUCGGGAACACCCGAAGUCCGUAGCCUAACCGCAAGGGGGCGCGGCCGAAGGUGGGUUCGAUAAUUGGGGUGAAGUCGUAACAAGGUACC
rnacentral:rRNA from 1 species